rnacentral:rRNA from 1 species
AGCGAAAGCGUUAAGUAUUCCACCUGGGGAGUACGCCGGCAACGGUGAAACUCAAAGGAAUUGACGGGGGCCCGCACAAGCGGAGGAACAUGUGGUUUAAUUCGAUGAUACGCGAGGAACCUUACCCGGGCUUGAAUUGCAACUGAAUGAUGUGGAGACAUGUCAGCCGCAAGGCAGUUGUGAAGGUGCUGCAUGGUUGUCGUCAGCUCGUGCCGUGAGGUGUCGGCUUAAGUGCCAUAACGAGCGCAACCCUUAUCGAUAGUUACCAUCAGGUUAUGCUGGGGACUCUGUCGAGACUGCCGUCGUAAGAUGUGAGGAAGGUGGGGAUGACGUCAAAUCAGCACGGCCCUUACGUCCGGGGCUACACACGUGUUACAAUGGGGGGUACAGAAGGCAGCUACACGGCGACGUGAUGCUAAUCCCUAAAGCCUCUCUCAGUUCGGAUUGGAGUCUGCAACCCGACUCCAUGAAGCUGGAUUCGCUAGUAAUCGCGCAUCAGCCACGGCGCGGUGAAUACGUUCCCGGGCCUUGUACACACCGCCCGUC